rnacentral:rRNA from 1 species
CCUACGGGGGACAGCAGUGAGGAAUAUUGGUCAAUGGACGAGAGUCUGAACCAGCCAAGUAGCGUGAAGGAUGACUGCCCUAUGGGUUGUAAACUUCUUUUAUAUGGGAAUAAAACGUUCCACGUGUGGGAUUUUGUAUGUACCAUAUGAAUAAGGAUCGGCUAACUCCGUGCCAGCAGCCGCGGUAAUACGGAGGAUCCGAGCGUUAUCCGGAUUUAUUGGGUUUAAAGGGAGCGUAGGUGGAUUGUUAAGUCAGUUGUGAAAGUGUGCGGCUCAACCGUAAAAUUGCAGUUGAAACUGGCAGUCUUGAGUACAGUAGAGGUGGGCGGAAUUCGUGGUGUAGCGGUGAAAUGCUUAGAUAUCACGAAGAACUCCGAUUGCGAAGGCAGUUCACUGGACUGCAACUGACACUGAGGCUCGAAAGUGUGGGUAUCAAACAGGAUUAGAUACCCGGGUAGUC